GACGAACGCUGGCGGCGUGCUUAACACAUGCAAGUCGAACGGAAAGGCCCUGCUUUUGUGGGGUGCUCGAGUGGCGAACGGGUGAGUAACACGUGAGUAACCUGCCCUUGACUUUGGGAUAACUUCAGGAAACUGGGGCUAAUACCGGAUAGGAGCUCCUGCUGCAGGGUGGGGGUCGGAAAGUUUCGGCGGGUGGGGAUGGACGGGCGGCUUAUCGGCUUGUUGGUGGGGUAGUGGCUUACCAAGGCUUUGACGGGUAGCCCGCAUGAGAGGGUGACCGGCCACAUUGGGCCUGAGAUAGGGCGCAGAGGGCUACGGGAGACAGCAGGGGGGAGUAUUGCACAAUGGGAGCAAGUCUGAUGCAGCAGCGCUGCGUGCGGAAAGACGGUUUUUGGGUUGUGAACCGCUUCAGGUUGUGACGAAGCGUGAGUGACGGUAAUGGGUAAAGAAGCACCGGCUAACUACGUG
rnacentral:rRNA from 1 species